rnacentral:rRNA from 1 species
GACGAACGCUGGCGGCGUGCUUAACACAUGCAAGUCGAACGGAAAGGCCCUGCUUUUGUUGGGUGCUCGAGUGGCGAACGGGUGAGUAACACGUGAGUAACCUGCCCUUGACUUUGGGAUAACUUCAGGAAACUGGGGCUAAUACCGGAUAGGAGCUCCUGCUGCAUGGUGGGGGUUGGAAAGUUUCGGCGGUUGGGGAUGGACUCGCGGCUUAUCAGCUUGUUGGUGGGGUAGUGGCUUACCAAGGCUUUGACGGGUAGCCGGCCUGAGAGGGUGACCGGCCACAUUGGGACUGAGAUACGGCCCAGACUCCUACGGGAGGCAGCAGUGGGGAAUAUUGCACAAUGGGCGGAAGCCUGAUGCAGCAACGCCGCGUGCGGGAUGACGGCCUUCGGGUUGUAAUCCGCUUUCGCCUGUGACGAAGCGUGAGUGACGGUAAUGGGUAAAGAAGCACCGGCUAACUACGUG